GUGAUCCUUGGCACUGGAAGAAUUCACAGAGUGCAUUACGACAGGUCGUGGGUUCCCUGGUGCCAGAGAUUGC
ncrna:Daphnia pulex (common water flea) microRNA dpu-mir-263b precursor